rnacentral:misc_RNA from 1 species
GUGGAAUGGGAGGAUCAAGAAACCCACUUCCUUGUCCUCAGCUAGACCGCAAAUAUCUUCAUGCAUGGUGGCAUAUGGGGACAGUGCAGUUAGAGGGUGGAUAGUGACAAGCUCAUUUAGAUUGGCAUAAGUCUGGAGAGAAUUAAUUAUUUGCUCUGAAUACGCGUUUCUGCGGCUACUGCUGCUCUUGUUGGGGUUGUGGAC